CUCCUUCAGGACCUGUGGUGGGAAUGUCCAGGACUGGUCAGCCUGUGAGCCUGUAACAUGGAUACAGUGGAGCCAGAACAAACUGUCCAGAACAGCCAGACAGUAACAGUCAGCAGCAAGAUGAACUGGACAGUCAAAAAUAAACUCCAGGAAUGAAAAGAUUGUGGGAGUGCUACUCAGGUGUCUUAUGUCUGGUGUAAAAACAUGGAUCUGAAGGGCCAGCAAGCUUCCUCAGGGAUUACUGAGGCAUCUCCUUGGAAACCAUACCUCAUUAAUCCUGCUGUGAAGUAAGAGGCAGCCAGGACCCCAAGCUUUUCCUUUUUCUGAGCCACAUUCUGUUCUGGCCAGCUCGGACACCUUACAUGGAGGCUGACAGGGCUCAACACCCAGCACCCAUCAGGACUCACUACCGUCUGUAAACUGAGCAGCCUGGAGGGAGCCUGUUGACUAGCAGUGCCAGAGAGGUCUCUUCUCUUUCUUUGCCUAUGUAAAGUAAUUUCUUUUAGGUGUGGUGAUUAAUUUAUUGAAAUUCAGGUGAAGACAUUUGACAAUUUGACAGAGAGAAGAAAAGUGCUAGAUGGAAAUAUGCACUCUUCUCAAAUGUUCUCAAAGAGACUUUUAACCUUUAGUCCCAGUAGAUACUUCUCGUUUGG
rnacentral:lncRNA from 1 species